UACGUAGGGGGCGAGCGUUGUCCGGAAUCAUUGGGCGUAAAGCGCGUGUAGGCGGCUCGGUCAGUCUGGUGUGAAAUCUUGGGGCUCAACCCCAAGCCUGCACUGGAUACUGCCGAGCUUGAGUCCGGGAGGGGAGAGCGGAAUUCCUAGUGUAGCGGUGAAAUGCGCAGAUAUUAGGAAGAACACCGGUGGCGAAGGCGGCUCUCUGGAACGGUACUGACGCUGAGACGCGAAAGCGUGGGGAGCGAACAGG
rnacentral:rRNA from 1 species